rnacentral:rRNA from 1 species
UACGGAGGGUGCAAGCGUUAUCCGGAUUCACUGGGUUUAAAGGGUGCGUAGGUGGGUUGGUAAGUCAGUGGUGAAAUCUCCGUGCUUAACAUGGAAACUGCCAUUGAUACUACUGAUCUUGAAUUUUCAGGAGGUAAGCGGAAUAUGUCAUGUAGCGGUGAAAUGCUUAGAUAUGACAUAGAAACACCAAAUUGCGAAAGGCAGCUUACUACAGGAAUAUUGACACUGAUGCACGAAAAGCGUGGGGGAUCAAACAGG